rnacentral:rRNA from 1 species
CCUACGGGUGGCAGCAGUGAGGAAUAUUGGUCAAUGGACGAGAGUCUGAACCAGCCAAGUAGCGUGAAGGAUGACUGCCCUAUGGGUUGUAAACUUCUUUUAUAAAGGAAUAAAACGAGGCACGUGUGCCUUUUUGCAUGUACUUUAUGAAUAAGGCACGCCUAACUCCGUGCCAGCCGCCGCGGUAAUACGGAGGAUCCGAGCGUUAUCCGGAUUUAUUGGGUUUAAAGGGAGCGUAGAUGGGUUGUUAAGUCAGUUGGGAAAGUUUGCGGCUCAACCGUAAAAUUGCAAUUGAUACUGGCAGUCUUGAGUACAGUUGAGGUAGGCGGAAUUCGUGGUGUAGCGGUGAAAUGCUUAGAUAUCACGAAGAACCCCGAUGGCGAAGGCAGCUUACUAAACUGUGACUGACAUUGAUGCUCGAAAGUGUGGGUAUCAAACAGGAUUAGAUACCCUGGUAGUC